rnacentral:rRNA from 1 species
UACAGAGGGUGCAAGCGUUGUCCGGAAUCACUGGGCGUAAAGGGCGCGUAGGCGGCCUGAUAAGUCGGGGGUGAAAUUCUGCGGCUUAACCGCAGGACGGCCUUCGAGACUGUCGGGCUUGAGCACGGUAGAGGCAGGUGGAAUUCCCGGUGUAGCGGUGGAAUGCGUAGAGAUCGGGAAGAACAUCGGUGGCGAAGGCGGCCUGCUGGACCAUAACUGACACUCAGGGACGAAAGCUAGGGGAGCGAAUGGG